rnacentral:tRNA from 1 species
CGGGGCGUAGCGCAGUCGGUAGCGCGCAGCGUUCGGGACGCUGAGGCCGGAGGUUCAAGUCCUCUCGCCCCGACCA